rnacentral:sRNA from 1 species
AACAAGGUCUCCGUUGGUGAACCAGCGGAGGGAUCAUUACCGAGUUUACAACUCCCAAACCCAAUGUGAACGUUACCAAUCUGUUGCCUCGGCGGGAUUCUCUGCCCCGGGCGCGUCGCAGCCCCGGAUCCCAUGGCGCCCGCCGGAGGACCAACUCAAACUCUUUUUUCUCUCCGUCGCGGCCUACGUCGCGGCUCUGUUUUAUUUUUGCUCUGAGCCUUUCUCGGCGACCCUAGCGGGCGUCUCGAAAAUGAAUCAAAACUUUCAACAACGGAUCUCUUGGUUCUGGCAUCGAUGAAGAACGCAGCGAAAUGCGAUAAGUAAUGUGAAUUGCAGAAUUCAGUGAAUCAUCGAAUCUUUGAACGCACAUUGCGCCCGCCAGUAUUCUGGCGGGCAUGCCUGUCCGAGCGUCAUUUCAACCCUCGAACCCCUCCGGGGGGUCGGCGUUGGGGAUCGGCCCCUCACCGGGCCGCCCCCGAAAUACAGUGGCGGUCUCGCCGCAGCCUCUCCUGCGCAGUAGUUUGCACACUCGCACCGGGAGCGCGGCGCGGCCACAGCCGUAAAACACCCCAAACUCUGAAAUGUUGACCUCGGAUCAGGUAGGAAUACCCGCUGAACUUAAGCAUA